GUGUGUGUGUGUGUAUAUAUGUGUGUGUGUGUGUGUGUGUGUGUGCGCGCACACACACACACACACACGUAUACAUAUACAG
rnacentral:miRNA from 1 species